rnacentral:lncRNA from 13 species
GGUACAUAGGAUAUAAUCUGAACAAUUUCUGCAGUAUGGUAUAUAAUACAUUAUUAUUAUUACCAUUAUUGUCACUGUACAAAAAAUAGAGGUGCACUGUAGUUAUAGAGCCUGCACAUACAUGAAAUGGUAUGCGGAAUUAAGAGUGAGUCUCCUGUACAGCUAAAACACAACCACAUUUACUUAUGUAAUAUCUAUCAUUCUAUUUUUGUCUAGAAAGAGCUAAUGAGAUCUGGUUUGACACAAAUGUGACAAUGCAUGUGGAGAAUGAGGCAGUUGGGGACAACUGACGACCAGUACAUCAUGUUUAAAAUAAAUCCUCCCUACUCUCUGGGACUACAAGCGUGCAUCACCACAAUUGGCUCCAUUCUGCUUUUAACAAUGGUAUUACAAGAACCAACUGAAAGAUUUCCCAGCAAUCAAAGCAAAAACAAUAAAGACAUCAAGCAAGCCUCAGUUUAUAUGAAGACUACAAAAUACCUAAACAGUUCUCAUCAAAAUUGUCAAGAUCACCAAAAACAAGGGAAGUCUGAGAAAUAG